UACGGGGGGGGCAAGCGUUGUUCGGAAUUACUGGGCGUAAAGGGCUCGUAGGUGGCCAACUAAGUCAGACGUGAAAUCCCUCAGCUUAACUGGGGAACUGCGUCUGAUACUGGAUGGCUUGAGUUUGGGAGAGGGAUGCGGAAUUCCAGGUGUAGCGGUGAAAUGCGUAGAUAUCUGGAGGAACACCGGUGGCGAAGGCGGCAUCCUGGACCAAUACUGACGCUGAGGAGCGGAAAGCGUGGGGAGCAAACAGG
rnacentral:rRNA from 1 species